CUACAAGGGGCUACAUCUCCAUUCUGCAGAUGAAGAAAUUGAGACACUUGGUGAGCCCCAUUUCCAUCAACCCCGUGUUCAACACACUUUCUCUCGCAGGUUAGGAAAAACCUAUGAAGACCUUGCCUUCUAUUUGAGAAGUCACCAAUUAAGUGAGUUAUUGUACUUGGAAGGGUCCAAAGUUUAUUUCUGUUACCAGAAGUGUCUCACGGAAACCUUGGAAGGAUAAGACAGAAUGAUGGCAGCUGCAAUGUGAGAUCCCAAAGGAAAAGUCAGUGGCAGGCUGCUUCCACAUGAAGAAUUCUCUUUGUGCAGAAUGGGGGUUAGAAGGAUUCUUUUCUCUCUGCAAGAUUAACUGAAUAAUCAAGGGUAGCAUACUACUCUCAGAAAUACGGACUCCGUCAGAAAGAAGAUGGAUCAGGAAACAAUGGCGUGUUACCAUAGCAGAGGACAUGGGGAGUUGGCUUUUCUGCUAUCUCCUGGCAACCGUGUGACAAGGAGCUGCACCAGGUGUUGAAAUACAGGAGAGAAAGCUCCCACUCGGGAAUCAUCUGGAAGAGAACUUUAAUCAAGUUUACCUUGGUGCCUCAAGAGAGGCUCAGAUUUAUUAAUGGAAAAUAAAUAUGUCAGGCCCCCCUAAUGUAUAACUCCGUGGAUCUUCCUGAUGUGUCAUGAAAGCAAUGAAAGUUUACCUCAUGAAGGAGCCUUCUGCUUUAGUUUUUGAAAAACAUGCCAAGGAAGGAUUAGCCUUUGUUUGCAAUUGCCUUCGUUCAGGGGCCGAGUACUUGCGGAGGUUCUGGUUUCUGCUGUUCCACCUGCCGCACCAUCACCCGAGAGAACGUCCCGAAAGGUCAGCAGUGUUCUGUGCCCCCUUUGCUGUUGUUCAGUCACUAAGUUGUGUCCAACUCUUUGUGACCUCAUGGACUGCAGCAUGCCAGGCUCCUCUGUCCUCCACUGUCUUCCAGAAUUUGCUCAGAUUCAUGUCCAUUGAAUCGAUGAUGCCAUCCAACAUCUCAUCCUCUAUCGUCCCCUUCUCCUCCUGCCCUCAAUCUUUCCCAGCAUCAGGGUCUUUUCAAGUGAAACAGCUCUUCACAUCAGGUGGCCAAAAUACUGCAGCUUCAGGACUGGAAGGCAUCAGUCCUUCCAGUGAAUAUUCAGGGUUGAUUUCUUGUAGAAUUAACUGAUUUGAUCUCCUUGCAGUCCAAGGGACUCUCAAGAGUCUUUUCCAACACCAAAAUUUGAAAGCAUUAAUUCUUGGGUACUCAGCUUUCUUUG
rnacentral:lncRNA from 1 species